rnacentral:rRNA from 1 species
GACGAACGCUGGCGGCGUGCUUAACACAUGCAAGUCGAACGGAAAGGCCCUGCUUUUGUGGGGUGCUCGAGUGGCGAACGGGUGAGUAACACGUGAGUAACCUGCCCUUGACUUUGGGAUAACUUCAGGAAACUGGGGCUAAUACCGGAGAGGAGCUCCUGCUGCAUGGUGGGGGUUGGAAAGUUUCGGCGGUGGGGGAUGGACUCGCGGCUUAUCAGCUGGUUGGUGGGGUAGUGGCUUACCAAGGCUUUGACGGGUAGCCGGCCUGAGAGGGUGACCGGCCACAUUGGGACUGAGAUACGGCGCAGACUCCUACGGGAGGCAGCAGGGGGGAACAUUGCACAAUGGGCGGACGCCUGAUGUAGCAACGCCGGGUGCGGGAUGACGGCCUUCGGGUUGUAAACCGCUUUCGCCUGUGACGAAGCGUGAGUGACGGUAAUGGGUCAAGAAGCACCGGCUAACUACGUG